CCGCCUAGGGAGGCAGCAGUGAGGAAUAUUGGUCAAUGGGCGGGAGCCUGAACCAGCCAAGUCGCGUGAGGGAAGACGGUCCUAUGGAUUGUAAACCUCUUUUGUCGGGGAGCAAAGAGGCCUCGUGAGGUCAAAAGCGAGAGUACCCGAAGAAAAAGCAUCGGCUAACUCCGUGCCAGCAGCCGCGGUAAUACGGAGGAUGCGAGCGUUAUCCGGAUUUAUUGGGUUUAAAGGGUGCGUAGGCGGGACGGUAAGUCAGCGGUAAAAAUGCGGAGCUCAACUCCGUCGAGCCGUUGAAACUGCCG
rnacentral:rRNA from 1 species